AGCGUCGCUCGGAGCUCGCGGCCGGAUGGGGAAGGCGGCGGCGGCGGUGGCCUUUGGGGCCGAAGUGGGCGUGCGGCUCGCGCUGUUCGCGGCCUUCCUGGUGACGGAGCUGCUCCCCCCGUUCCAGAGACUCAUCCAGCCGGAGGAGAUGUGGCUCUACCGGAACCCCUACGUGGAGGCGGAGUAUUUCCCCACCAAGCCGAUGUUUGUUAUUGCAUUUCUCUCUCCACUGUCUCUGAUCUUCCUGGCCAAAUUUCUCAAGAAGGCAGACACAAGAGACAGCAGACAAGCCUGCCUGGCUGCCAGCCUUGCCCUGGCUCUGAAUGGCGUCUUUACCAACACAAUAAAACUGAUCGUAGGGAGUCCUCCAGGUGACACCUGGGCUCUUUUCUGCCUGAACAGCAUUUCCCACCAACGGCCACAGCAGUCGGUCAGUGUCCUCUUGAGCACCUCCUGAAGCUGCAGUGUCAUUUGCUGUUUGCCCUAAAAAGCCACGCCCAGAUUUCUUCUACCGCUGCUUCCCUGAUGGGCUAGCCCAUUCUGACUUGAUGUGUACAGGGGAUAAGGACGUGGUGAAUGAGGGCCGAAAGAGCUUCCCCAGUGGACAUUCUUCCUUUGCAUUUGCUGGUCUGGCCUUUGCGUCCUUCUACCUGGCAGGGAAGUUACACUGCUUCACACCACAAGGCCGUGGGAAAUCUUGGAGGUUCUGUGCCUUUCUGUCACCUCUACUUUUUGCAGCUGUGAUUGCACUGUCCCGCACAUGUGACUACAAGCAUCACUGGCAAGAUGUACUAGUUGGAUCCAUGAUUGGAAUGACAUUUGCCUAUGUCUGCUAUCGGCAGUAUUAUCCUCCUCUGACUGAUGCAGAAUGCCAUAAACCAUUUCAAGACAAACUUGUACUUUCCACUGCACAGAAGCCUGGGGAUUCUUAUUGUUUUGAUAUUUAAAAAUUGAAUCUGGCCGGGCGUGGUGGCUCAUGCCUGUAAUCCCAACACUUUGGGAGGCUGAGGAGGGUGGAUCACCUGAGGUCAGGACCAGCCUGGCCAACAUGGUGAACCCUGUCUCUACUAAAAAUACAAAAAUUAGCCAGGAGUUGUGUGCCGUAAUCCCAGCUACCUGGGAGGCUGAGGUAGGAGAAUUGCUUGAACCUGGGAGCUGGAGGUUCCAGUGAGCCGAGAUCGCACCACUGCACUCCAGCCUAGGCAACAGAGUGAGACCCCAUCUCAAAAAAAAAAAAAAUUGAAUCUAUCUCAAUAGAGAACAGGUGAACUAGCCCUCCUAACCGGACCAUGCACAAGACAAGAAAUUCUAGCCUUUUUUUCCCCUUCCAAGGUGCAAGUGAGGACAUAAGCCACACUGUAUUCUGCCUCCAAAUGAUUACACACUUUUGCCCCUGCUCAUCUAUCUUGAGGAGUUACGGUUCUUUUCCACUACUGUAUGCCACAUGUUCUAGUAAAAGGAUCUUUCAAAGGUGUCCAACACCUUAUGAAUCUGGUCUAUCAGAUUAAUAUCUGAAGAUCUACAGUGUUUUUACAUUUAAUUUAAAUGCCAUUCUUAGAAGGAUCUUGUCACAAAGAAGCCUUUACAUAGCCCCACCUUGUCUCAGAAGCUAGAGUUCAUUAUCAAAACUUAAUUUCCAUUUCAUAUAGCUCAAAAUCUUAAAAUCUAGGGCAUGGCCAACUAAAUUACUUUGAUUCUGUUUACCUUCUCUGAUGACAAUUCCAUCAAGCCUUAAAUAGGAAAAUGUCGAAUCUAGGGUAAUUUAUCACUUUUGUGUGCAUCUUAUCUGAGUCCAGCCAUCUGGUACUGCUGUGCAUUUUGAACACCGUGGGCAUAAACAAUUUGUUGAAUUACUAAGUGAAAACAAUAAUAAAGAAGAAAAUGGUCAGGAGUGUGGUUUCAGCACUACUAACAGAUGACUGUUUCUACCUCAUUUGACCAUAACUGUACUUGUGAGCUUCUUUCCUUCCAUUCAUGACUGAAGAUCUGCUCAAAUGCACCAACACUGCCAAGUGACUAAGGUAGAAAAGAAAAAUGACAGGUAUCGUCAUCUGAAGGACAGAUGAAUCUUUUUCUGCCCCUUCUUCACAAUGGAAUAUAAGGAACAAUUAUGGGAUGUCAUCAGAAUGGAUGCCAUAGGACCUACAGCUCCCUUUCUCUUUAUUGUGAUUAUACUUUAAAUAUGACAUUGUCUUUUAUGUGUAUGUUCCUAUAUUUUCAAUGUAUCUUUUUCCUUCAGUAAACCUGAUAUUCAAAUAAAA